GACGAACGCUGGCGGCGUGCUUAACACAUGCAAGUCGAACGGAAAGGCCCUUCGGGGUACUCGAGUGGCGAACGGGUGAGUAACACGUGGGUGAUCUGCCCUGCACUUUGGGAUAAGCCGGGGAAACUGGGUCUAAUACCGAAUAGGACCACGCGCUUCAUGGCGUGUGGUGGAAAGCUUUUGCGGUGUGGGUUGGGCCCGCGGCCUAUCAGCUCGUUGGUGGGGUACUGGCCUACCAAGGCGACGACGGGUAGCCGGCCUGUGAGGGUGACCGGCCACACGGGGACUGAGGUACGGCGCAGACUCCUACGGGACGCAGCGGUGGAGAAUAUUGCACAAUGGGGGCAAGCCAGAGGCAGCGACGCCGCGUGAGUGAUGACGGCCUUCGGGUUGUAAACCUCUGUCAAUAGGGACGAAGCGCAAGUGACGGUACCUAUAGAAGAAGCACCGGCCAACUACGUG
rnacentral:rRNA from 1 species